rnacentral:rRNA from 1 species
GUGGGGAAUUUUGGACAAUGGGCGCAAGCCUGAUCCAGCAAUGCCGCGUGCAGGAUGAAGGCCUUCGGGUUGUAAACUGCUUUUGUACGGAACGAAAAGCCCUGGGUUAAUACCCUGGGGUCAUGACGGUACCGUAAGAAUAAGCACCGGCUAACUACGUGCCAGCAGCCGCGGUAAUACGUAGGGUGCGAGCGUUAAUCGGAAUUACUGGGCGUAAAGCGUGCGCAGGCGGUUUUGUAAGACAGAGGUGAAAUCCCCGGGCUCAACCUGGGAACUGCCUUUGUGACUGCAAGGCUAGAGUACGGCAGAGGGGGAUGGAAUUCCGCGUGUAGCAGUGAAAUGCGUAGAUAUGCGGAGGAACACCGAUGGCGAAGGCAAUCCCCUGGGCCUGUACUGACGCUCAUGCACGAAAGCGUGGGGAGCAAACAGGAUUAGAAACCCUGGUAGUCC